AGCUUCAGUUUCAGCAUCAAUCCUUCCAAUGAGUAUUCAGGGUUGGUUUCCUUUAGGAUUGACUGGUUUGAUAAGUAUGUAAAUCCUACAUAUCUACUAGUGGAAAGUCCAAGACAAAAGGAAUGCGUGUGAUAGACCUGGGGCUCUGUUAACUGGUAAGGAAACUCCAAGUAACAGUCUGUGAGGUGCCUCCUUCUGAAGCCAGUAUGAUAACUUGUUUAGUCACUAAGUUGCGUCCAACUCUUUUGUGACCUCACGGACUAUAGCCCACCAUUCUCCUCUGUCCAUGGAAUUUCCCAGGCAAGAAUAUUGGAGUGGGUUGCCAUUUCCUUCUCCAGCUUCCUGACCCAGGGAUCAAACCCGCGUCUCCUGCAUUGGCAGAAUUCUUAACAGCUGGACUACCAGGGAAGUCCAGAUUGAUUGACUUAAAAUAGAAACUUUUAUUUUGCCACUGUUCUGUCCCUUUAAUUAAAUAGACUGAACCCUACUGUUUUCAAUGGCCUAUGUAGAGGAUUCAUGACACUUCUUUAAGCCCCUCUUGGGCCUGGCAGCCUGAAUGCAGUGUAGUGCUUCAUGUCAUCUCCUCUAAUGUGGUCACCUCUAAGGGACCAGGUUUCCAGGACAUGCCAGUGUCCUCAAAAUCCCCAGAAGAGUGCUAAGCAGGUACACCUGCUGAUGGAUCUUUAAACAUAAUGAAGCAUAAAUGUGCCCUUCCGUUCAUUUACAAUAGAAGUUUAAUAAAAAUACAGGCUGAAUGAUAUGUCCUUUUCUAUAGGAUGCUUUUGAGUGUGUAGGCCAGAAUCUCAUUUUGCUUUAAAAGCUGAUCUAAUCCUUUCGUCAAAUAAUUUUAGCAGGCUGAUUCUUAACCACUGGCACCACCUGGGAAGCCCCCCAGGACCUUGUGGUCAGCAUGUAAUCCUGAAUUCUGGAACCUAUGAAUAUAAAUGUUGUCUUAUAUUGGAGAAGGGUCUCUGCAGAUGUGAUUGCAUUAAGGGUACUAAGGUGGGGAGAUUAUCCUGGAUUACCCAGGUGAACCCUGAACACAAUCACAAACAUCCUUAUGAGAGAGAGAGGGAGAGUUGACACAGGCAGAGGAGAAGGUGUGUGAUCACGGAGGCGGAGCCUGCAGUGAUGAAGCCGCAAACCAGUGAAUUCCUGACAGCUCCCAGGAGCCGAAAGAAGCAAGAAUAUUCUCCCCUCCGUUAGUUUCAGCACGAACUGAUUUUGGACUUCUCAUCUCCAACACCGGGAGAGGAUAAAUUUCUAUUGUGUACAGGCACCGAGUCUGUGGUCAUCUGUUACAGCCUUCACAGGAAAGUAAUACAUUGCUUUUCACUCAGAGCACGUGCGAGAGUACCUGAGAAACAAAUGCUGGAAAGACUUUUUUGUCUGGGUUGCAUUUUCAUGAAAUGAUUCAGACUUACAAAAAUAUAUAAUAAUGUAAUAGACACCGUGGAACUUACUUUACUGGCUGAAAAACAAAACAUUUCAAGUAUAUUUGAAUUCUUCCAGCCACCCUCCCUCCACUAUGUUCCUCUCAAUCCAUAUCUGAGUUUAAAGCAUGUGAUUCUCCCAGAGCAAACAUCAUUUUAUCAUUUUGAGAAAUCUUUUCAUUGGCAACACCAGGUCAAAAAUGGACACUGCUUUUUGGUGCAAGGAAUAGUUAAGGAGCAGAAGUCCUUAGCUUGCAGGAUCUCAGUUUCCCAUACCAGUGAUUGAAGCCAGACCACUGCACACAGUGAAAGCCUAGAAUCCUAACCACUGGACCACCAGGGAUCUCCCCACCACGUGUUUCUUCAUUCUCCUUGCGGUAUAACAUUAUAUUUGUGUCACUAUGCUGUUGACAGUCAGGGAGGGGGCCAUGCUGUGCAGCUUGUGGGAUCAAUCUACCUCCUUGACCAGGGAUGGAACCCAUGCCCCCUGCAUUGGGAGCAAGAGGUCUUAACCACUGGACUAUGAGGGAAGUCCCUCUUGAAUCCAUCUUUUGAUGAAUAUACAUAUGCACUGUUUGUAUGUUUUAGGAGUGGAACUGUUGGGUCAUUUAAUGUCUGAAUGUUCAUUUUCUAGAUGCUUUUUAAAGAUCAUUCCUUGUGAUGGAACCAAAGACUAUCACGGAUCACACAGCUAAUACACAGGCUUUCCAUUCUGUCCAAAGAUUCACUAAUAAGCCUCAAUACCAAGGCUUCCAGUACUUGUCAGCUCAAUACCCUUCUCCAGCCUAGCCUCUCAAAUGGGUAGACACUACAAGGAAUAUACAUACACUUACACACUCCAGAGCCAUCUUGUAAAGACAGUCAGGUAACUCUGUACUGGCAAUGAAUCACAUUUCCGUGGCCAGAUGAAGCUCCGGGAAGCCUGCCGGGCUAGCUAGAGAAGUCUGGAGUGGGGAGCUCUGGAAAACAUCUACUUCAUUGUGAGGGUCUUUACAAC